CGCGGUAAUACAGAGGGUGCAAGCGUUGCUCGGAUUUACUGGGCGUAAAGCGUACGCAGACGGUGAGAAAGGUCGGAUGUGAAAGCCCCGGGCUCAACCCGGGAACUGCAUCCGAAACCAUCUCGCUCGAGUGUGGGAGAGGGAAGCGGAAUUCCUGGUGUAGAGGUGAAAUUCGUAGAUAUCAGGAGGAACACCGGCGGCGAAGGCGGCUUCCUGGCCCAUUACUGACGUUCAGGUACGAAAGCGUGGGUAGCAAACAGGAUUAGAUACCCUGGUAGUCCACGCCGUAAACGAUGUGUGCUGGAUGUCGGGGGUAUUCACCCCCUCGGUAUCGAAGCCAACGCGAUAAGCACACCGCCUGGGGAGUACGGCCGCAAGGUUGAAACUCAAAGGAAUUGACGGGGGCCCGCACAAGCGGUGGAGUAUGUGGUUUAAUUCGACGCAACGCGAAGAACCUUACCCAGCCUUGACAUGCUCGGAAUCCUGUGGAAACACGGGAGUGCCUUCGCAAGAAGGAGCCGGGACACAGGUGCUGCAUGGCUGUCGUCAGCUCGUGUCGUGAGAUGUUCGGUUAAGUCCGGCAACGAGCGCAACCCUUGCUUCCAGUUGCCAUCAUUCAGUUGGGAACUCUGGAGGGACUGCCGGCGCCAAGCCGGAGGAAGGUGGGGACGACGUCAAGUCAUCAUGGCCUUUAUGGCUGGGGCUACACACGUACUACAAUGGCGUCUACAAAGGGCUGCGAAACGGCGACGUGGAGCAAAUCUCAAAAAAGACGCCUCAGUUCGGAUUGGAGUCUGCAACUCGACUCCAUGAAGUUGGAAUCGCUAGUAAUCGCAGAUCAGCACGCUGCGGUGAAUACGUUCCCGGGCCUUGUACACACCGCCCGUCACACCACGAAAGUUGGAUGGACCUGAAGUC
rnacentral:rRNA from 1 species